GAGAAUGGUUCAAUGUUACAGUGUUUUAUACAGGAAGAGAUUGAUACUAGAAGCACACUAAAAAAAAAUUGGUAAUUGUGAUAAAAAAAAAGGUUUAAAGUGAAAUGCUGUCACAGAAAAAUCGGGAGUUGUAUUUGAAAGUUAAAGAAGCUGUCGGUGCAAGAAAUUGCUGGACUUUUGAAGUACAGAAGAAGCUGGCCUGCUUGCUGAAGUUGGUGUAACACUUAGCUUUCAUGGAAAUCUUGUGAGUUAGAGGAAACUUUUCUUUCCUUUUAUUCUGGAUUUGGUUUAGAACCUUUAGUCACGUAAUUACAUAUAGAGGAAACUAAUGGAAACUUUAUUGAAAUUGUGUAGAGUAUGUAUACAGGAAGGGGAAGAUCAAUUUGAACAUUUUUUAAAUUAAAAUAAAUUACUUUUACAAAUAAAUCUUUUUGCUACUUCGUUUUUAUUGGCCCCAGCAUGCUAACACAAGCAACAAUAUAAAUUUUCAUAAGAAAAUAUUAAACCGUUCUGGUGCAGUAUUAAAAACAUUGGUAUUAUUUUGUAACUUUUAUUUUGUUUUAUAUAAGUUAGGCCAAAUGGACUUUUUGUUUUCCUUAAAAAUCGUGGUAUGUUGAUACAUAUAUAUUUAGCAAAAUAAACUAUUUUUUACA
rnacentral:lncRNA from 1 species